rnacentral:lncRNA from 1 species
UACCUGUUUAUGCAAGAAUGAUGCAUGAAGUGCUUGUGCAGAUGCUUUGUUUUCAAGGAACCCUUAGGUUUUUUAUUUGCAAUAUUUUGAAUAUUUAAACAUUUUAAUUGCUCAUGGAAGAUAUUUCAUUCAAUAUAUUGAGACAAAGGAGUACAGCAUUUUUUAAUUAUUACAAAGAGAAAAGGUAAAUGACAUCCUAU